rnacentral:rRNA from 1 species
AUGUCUCUUUGAAAAAAUAAUAUAGGGAGUCUGGCCUGCCCGGUGACGUAGUUUAACGGCUGCAGUAUCCUGACUGUGCAAAGGUAGCAUAAUAACUUGCCUUUUAAUUGGAGGAUAGAAUCAAUGGCUUGACGAGAGCAAAGCUGUCUUUUUUGUUUUUAUUAGAAUUUAUUUUUUAAGUUAAAAAGCUUAAAUAUAAUUAAAAGACGAUAAGACCCUAUUGAGCUUUAAAGGAAUAAAGUGGUUAUUUAUUAUUAAUAAGAUUGAUAACAAAUUUAAAAAAUUUUGGUUGGGGCGACCGCGGAGUAUAGAAAACCUCCGGACUAGAAAAUUAAUUUCUGUUUUUGAUCCACAAUUUGUGAUAAGUGGAAUUAGUUACCAUAGGGAUAACAGCGCACUGUUCUUAGGGAGAUCAUAUUUCUAAGGAAGAUCGCGACCUCGAUGUUGGAUUAAGGCAUACUAGAAGGCGCAGAAGCUUUUUAAGUUAGUCUGUUCGACUAUUAAAUCCUU